AAGAAAAUGGAUUAAUUUAGAAUUCUGGCUUUGGGAGUCAGCGGCGGGGGUUAAAAUCUCCUUUUUCUGG
rnacentral:tRNA from 1 species